rnacentral:rRNA from 1 species
GUGGGGAAUAUUGGACAAUGGGCGCAAGCCUGAUCCAGCCAUGCCGCGUGAGUGAUGAAGGCCCUAGGGUUGUAAAGCUCUUUCACCGGUGAAGAUAAUGACGGUAACCGGAGAAGAAGCCCCGGCUAACUUCGUGCCAGCAGCCGCGGUAAUACGAAGGGGGCUAGCGUUGUUCGGAAUUACUGGGCGUAAAGCGCACGUAGGCGGGUAUUUAAGUCAGGGGUGAAAUCCCGGAGCUCAACUCCGGAACUGCCUUUGAUACUGGGUACCUAGAGUAUGGAAGAGGUAAGUGGAAUUCCGAGUGUAGAGGUGAAAUUCGUAGAUAUUCGGAGGAACACCAGUGGCGAAGGCGGCUUACUGGUCCAUUACUGACGCUGAGGUGCGAAAGCGUGGGGAGCAAACAGGAUUAGAUACCCGAGUAGUCC